rnacentral:rRNA from 1 species
UGGGUUAGUGGCGGACGGGUGAGUAACGCGUGGAUAACCUGCCGUAUACAGGGGGAUAACACUUAGAAAUAGGUGCUAACACCGCAUAAGCGCACGGUUCCGCAUGGAACAGUGUGAAAAACUCCGGUGGUAUACGAUGGAUCCGCGUCUGAUUAGCCAGUUGGCGGGGUAACGGCCCACCAAAGCGACGAUCAGUAGCCGGCCUGAGAGGGUGAACGGCCACAUUGGGACUGAGACACGGCCCAAACUCCUACGGGAGGCAGCAG